ACGCCAUGGCUGCCGUGCCCGGGCCGCUGCCACCCGCCGAGGCUGAGGCGUUGGUGCGAGCCCUGCAGGGCACCGAGCUGCGGGACAUCGGCGGGCAGGGAUGGCUUCGGCAGCAUGAGUAUGUGGAGAAGCUCAACAUGCACGGCAUCCUGAGUGCCUCAGCGGGCCAGGAGCAGCUCCUCACUGAGCUGCUGGUCACUCACGCCAAGAUUCCUGUUCUCAUUGGGGAGCUGAUUUCUGUGGAGAUCUGGAAGCACAAGGUCUUUCCCGUGCUGUGCCGGCUGGAGGACUUCAAGCCAAGAAGCACCUUCCCCAUCUAUGUGGUGCUGCACCACGAAGCCUCCAUCAUCAACCUCCUGGAGACAGUGUUCUUUUACAGGGAGAUCUGCGAGUCAGCAGAGGACAGCAUUCUGGAUUUGAUUGAUUAUUGCCACCGCAAGCUGACCCUGCUGGCAGCUCGGAGCACCAAGGCACAGGCAGUGACCUCGGCAGAGCUUCGUGCUGAGGGUCUGCCCAGCCCGUCCUCCAUGCAGGAGCUGCAGAAGCAGGCAGAGACGAUGGAGUUUGAGAUUUCCCUGAAGGCCCUGUCCGUGCUGCGGUUCAUCACCGACCAGGUGGAGAGUCUGCCCCUGAGUGCACUGACACGGAUGCUGAACACCCACAACCUGCCCUGCCUCCUUGCCGAGCUGGUGGAGCAUUGUCCCUGGAGCUGCUGGGAAUCAGGCAAGCUCAAGAAGUUUGAGAAUGGCACGUGGCACGUGGUGCCCCCUGAGGACCAGGUGAAGAUGACCAAACUCGAUGGGCAGGUGUGGCUUGCCCUCCUCAACCUCCUGCUCAGCCCCGAGUGCCAGCGCAAAUAUCGCUUCGAUGGCUUCAACAAGAGCCAGCUCCUCAAGCUCCGUGCAUUCCUGACAGACGUCCUCAUUGACCAGCUGCCCAACCUGGUGGAGAUGCAGAGAUUUCUGAGUUACCUUGCAGUGACAGAGCCUGCUCCCCCCAAAAAGGAUCUCAUCCUGGAGCAGGUUCCUAUAAUCCGGGACCAUAUCCUCAAGAAAAACUCGGGGAAGUGGGAGGCCAUUGUCAAGCACCAGGUGAAGCACGCCUUCAGCCCCAGUGAGGAGGAGCUGAAGUUCCAGGCACGCAGGUGGGCACAGACCUACAGCCUGGACAUGAUGGAGGCUCUGGCCCCUGACAAGCCCCGCUGCAGGGUGUGUGGUGUAGAAGCGGCCAAGCGCUGCUCUCGCUGCCGGAACGAGUGGUACUGCACACGGGCAUGCCAGGUCCAGCACUGGCAGAAGCACAAACCUGCCUGCAACCUGAUGGCUGAGGUGCCGAGGAGUGUGGAUGACCUGUAAGAGAAGUGGUGCCUGGCAUCUGGCCCAUGGCUCAGAGAGGCAGAUUCCCCUAGUGUGUAGCCCACAGCUGGCAAAGGCCCCUUCUGCCUGCUCCCAGCCCCAGGCAGCGCUAGCCAAGCUGAAGAUGGUAAACUGCUUCCUCCCUUCCCUUCCACACUGUGAGAGGCGUGUGUCCAUUUUCCCCUCUGCAACAACAGAAAUCCCAGAGAACCCGAAAAAGCCUAUAAGGUCGUGAUUACCUUACUGCAGCUGGGGAGGGAAAGAGUGAGAAGGCCUCUGUGCCGCCUCUUACCGUCAUUAGAGCAGCGUGGGGAGCAGAGGAUGUGGUUUGCACGAGCAUCUUGCUUGGUGUUAGCACCAAGGGCUUGGCCCCCUGCCUACCAGCAUUACCAGUAAACAGAGUUUACUGGUGGGAGUGCCUUGGGGUGCAUCCCCACCUCUCACUGGCCAGCAGCAGCUGCCGAAGGGCUGGAGCCUUGGUCUGAGCACAGCUGGGAAAGGUUGGCUGUAUCCUUUUUCUGAUGGGGUGCCUGAGGCUCCCUGACACAUAAAAAUAGGCUUUGCACCAGGGCUGCUGCUGUAGGAGCCACGACAGCAGGCAGGAAACCAUCUCGGUCCAGCUGCAGCCCCGGCUGAGCAGCCCGUGCUCGGAGCUGAAUAAACUCCUCACCCCAAACCCAGGCUGCACGUCCAGGGCUGCAGCCAGCCGGAGCAGGAACGCUCUCCGUAGCUCUCCGUCUGCUUCUCACGCGCUGCCGGGGUGCUUCCAGCCCCUUCCUCACUGGGAAACUGAGGCAGGGAGCGCAGUUUGUCCUGCUCCUGCGAGAAGAGGCAGAGAGAGCGGGGCUGCUGGAGCGGGCCCCCCCUUCCCCCGCGGCGGCUCCGGGAACCUCAUCCCCGCCUCCAGCCCGCCCCGCCGGGCUCGCCGGGGCUGGAGUUGGCGAUUGGGAGCCCGGGGCAUUGCGCCGUUCCCCCCACCUCUCCUGCCUCAGUUUCCCCGCGGUGCCCGAUCGGGGCGGACCCCUCCCGGUCCCCGCCCCGGCCC